rnacentral:tRNA from 1 species
UGGAUAUUAGUUAAAUUUUUAUAACAUUUAAAUUGCAUUUAAAAAUUAUAUUUUAUUUAAAAUAUAUGUCUAA